UCGGUGCGCCGUAGCUUCAUAGGAGCUAUGACAUUUAAUUUUGACAUGACCAUAUGGCAAUGUCGCAUAUUUUUCCAUUGCACGAGGCUUAUUUUACAAUAUUACUAUUUGAUUUUGGAGGAAAACUAUCAAAAGAAUUAUAUUUUUGAAGGUAUGUUGAUAAAAAAUAGUUAUUUGAACGUUUGAAUACUUUCAUUUAUAUAUGUAAAUGAACGUGAUAGUCUGUUUUUAUAAAUACAUUAUAAAAAUUCGAAUUCAAUCUCCUCUACAGUAGGUGUAUAUUUUGUUGUGUGUUCGUGGCGAUCAUUUGGUCAAAUCAAGUCAAAAGGAGCCGUUCAUAUUAUGUUUUUCAAAAAAGCAGUGAAUUGUGAACUCGCUGUAACUGUACCAAACUUGCUAGCUAUGUGUGAACUAGCUAUAUUUUAUACUUUAUACUAGCGAGGUUGUGAUCUUGCUAGCUGGGCAAUCGUCGACGGUUGGCAAUAAUAAAGUUGUAUCACUUGUAUACUGAUUCUGUCAAAAGAUCAAGCCAAC